rnacentral:rRNA from 1 species
UACGAGGGGGGCAAGCGUUGUUCGGAAUUAUUGGGCGUAAAGCGCGCGUAGGCGGCUUCGUAAGUCCGUUGUGAAAGUCAAAGGCUCAACCUUUGAAAGCCGAUGGAUACUGCGGAGCUAGAGUACGGAAGAGGCGAGUGGAAUUCCUGGUGUAGCGGUGGAAUGCGCAGAUAUCAGGAGGAACACCAAUAGCGAAGGCAGCUCGCUGGGACGUUACUGACGCUGAGGCGCGAAAGCGUGGGGAGCGAACAGG